rnacentral:hammerhead_ribozyme from 1 species
ACACUACCGAGGUGUCCCAUAAUAGGACGAAACGACCGUCCAGUGC